rnacentral:lncRNA from 1 species
AGAUUGUUUCUUUCUGCUACUGCUUCUUUCUCUGUUGGGAAAGGACACUGAAGCUAAAUCCAUUAGCCCUAGAAUUUACCCAGUAGCAUGCCCUGACUACAAAAGGAAGGCUGCCCCUGGCAUUCACACUCAGAAUCGGGAGUUUCUUUCCAUAUGACACCCACAGUGCAGAAUAUGGGACCCUGGGUUUCUCCAGAGCUGAGGCCACAAUAGAUAAGUUGCUUCCUGGAUCCUCUGGGCCUCAGAAAAUAAGGUAAGGCUGCUAGUUCUGCCCCUAGGGAUUACCUUGUUUAUUCUACUAUGUUUGCUCUAUUCCUGCCCCAGGAAAUGUGUCUGUGUGACUGAGGCUAGAUGAAUUGGACACCUUCCUUCCUAGUUGUCCUAGGUCCAUGAUGGUGAAUCUAUGUCAAUGUUGCCCC